UCAAACUUGGUCAUUUAGAGGAAGUAAAAGUCGUAACAAGGUUUCCGUAGGUGAACCUGCGGAAGGAUCAUUACUGAAGUCGCUGAGGGGUUGUUGCUGGCUCUCCGGAGCAUGUGCACGCCUUUCACACUUUAUUCAACCACCUGUGCACCUCCUGUAGUAUCUCUCAGACGAACUUUUCUCAAUCUUCGGAUUGGUUGGGACUUGCUGCUGUUUCGCAAGGAACGGCUUCAGUCCAAUUGUCUUGAGGGUGCUAUGUCUACACAUACACUGUAAAAAUUACCAGAAUGUAUCACGGUCUUUGGACCUUAAAAAUAAAUACAACUUUCAACAACGGAUCUCUUGGCUCUCGCAUCGAUGAAGAACGCAGC
rnacentral:misc_RNA from 1 species